CCUACGGGUGGCUGCAGUGAGGAAUAUUGGUCAAUGGGCGAGAGCCUGAACCAGCCAAGUCGCGUGAAGGAUGACGGCCCUACGGGUUGUAAACUUCUUUUGUCAGGGAGCAAUUGAGUCCACGUGUGGGCUUAGCGAGAGUACCUGAAGAAAAAGCAUCGGCUAACUCCGUGCCAGCAGCCGCGGUAAUACGGAGGAUGCGAGCGUUAUCCGGAUUUACUGGGUGUAAAGGGAGCGUAGACGGUGAUGCAAGUCAGAAGUGAAAGCCCGGGGCUCAACUCCGGGACUGCUUUUGAAACUGUGUGACUGGAGUGCAGGAGAGUAAGCGGAAUUCCUGGUGUAGCGGUGAAAUGCGUAGAUAUCAGGAGGAACACCAGUGGCGAAGGCGGCUUACUGGACUGUAACUGACGUUGAGGCUCGAAAGCGUGGGGAGCAAACAGGAUUAGAUACCCCGGUAGUC
rnacentral:rRNA from 1 species